rnacentral:rRNA from 1 species
ACUGAACGCUGGCGGCAUGCCUUACACAUGCAAGUCGAACGGUAACGCGGGGCAACCUGGCGACGAGUGGCGAACGGGUGAGUAAUGCAUCGGAACAUGCCCAGUAGUGGGGGAUAGCCCGGCGAAAGCCGGAUUAAUACCGCAUACGACCUAAGGGUGAAAGCGGGGGAUCGCAAGACCUCGCGCUAUUGGAGUGGCCGAUGUCAGAUUAGGUAGUGGGGGGGGUAAAGGCCUACCAAGCCGACGAUCUGUAGCUGGUCUGAGAGGACGACCAGCCACGCUGGGACUGAGACACGGCCCAGACGCCUACGGGAGGCAGCAGGGGGGAAUUUUGGACAAUGGGCGCAAGCCUGAUCCAGCCAUGCCGCGUGCGGGAAGAAGGCCUUCGGGUUGUAAACCGCUUUUGUCAGGGAAGAAACGGUCUGGGUUAAUACCUCGGACUAAUGACGGUACCUGAAGAAUAAGCACCGGCUAACUACGUGCCAGCAGCCGCCGUAACAC